AAAUUAUUUUAUUUUGGUUAAUAUUUUUAUUAUUAUUUUAUUUUACAUGUAAAUGUUUGUGGGAAUUUAUUUAAUUUUUAAAAAAUUAAAUAUUAAUAUUUAUUCGCAGUAAUUAAUAUUAAUUAAAAAAGAAAUUUUGUAUUAGUAAUAAUAUAUUGUAUUGGUAAAAUUUGUGCCAGCUACCGCGGUUAUACAAAUAAUGCAAAUAAAAAUUUUUAGUAUUAGUUAAAUUAUAAAUUUAAUAAUAUAAAUAUAAAUUUAUUAGGUGAAAUUUUUAAAUUUAUUUAUUUAUUAUCAAUAAAAUUAAUUUAAGCUAUAAACUUUUUGUAAUAAACUAGGAUUAGAUACCCUAUUAUUGAAAAUAAAUAUUUAAAUACUAAAGUAGUAGUAGUUAUAUUCUUAAAAUUUAAAAAAUUUGGCGGUGUUUUAGUCUAUUUAGAGGAAUCUGUCCUGUAAUUGAUAAUCCACAUUGAACCUUACUUAAAUUUGUUUAAUUUGUAUAUCGCCGUCAUCAGAAUAUGUUAUAAGAUAAAAAUUUUCUUAAUAUUUAAUUAAAUAAAAUGUCAGGUCAAGGUGCAGUUUAUAUUUAAGUAGAGAUGGAUUACAAUAAAUUUAUUUAAACGGAUAAUUUUUUGAAAUAAAAAUUUAAAGGUGGAUUUAAUAGUAAUAUAAAAUAGAUUAUUUGUAUGAUUUUAGCUCUAAAACAUGUACAUAUCGCCCAUCGUUCUUAUUUUUAAAAUAAGAUAAGUUGUAACAUAGUAGAUGUACUGGAAAGUGUAUCUAGAAAGAC
rnacentral:ncRNA from 1 species